rnacentral:lncRNA from 1 species
CUCAGCUGAAGUAUCCCACGCUGCCCAGAGAGGAGCAAGGCGACUGAGGCUAGGUGUGGGAUGGCGAGGGCCAGCUGGCCAGCCGGGGCUGCUGAGGGAUUUGGAGUGGCGACAACGGGCAGCCACUGCCAGGCACCGCGUGGACAUGCCAGCUGUUGCCCGACACCUGCUAUCACGCCACAGAGCAUUCCAGCCACCAUGUCUGUGUCAAUGUCGGAUUUCACCUAUAUCCAGGCUGUAUCACAUCCGGCCGUGAUUGGGAGUCCCAUAGGGCGGCGCACAAUUGGCCCAGCGUCAUCCGGAUUUGGCUGGGAUGGGCGGACCAGAAACCCAGUGUCAUCACUCGGGUCUGUAACUGCCAUUUUCCGCUGGGAAAGAGAAAUGAACCUGUACUUACCAGAAAAGGUAGCUCAUCCACCAUGGCAGAAGAGGCAGACCCAGACUGUUGAUUCGAAAACAAUAACAAAACAUUUGGCAUGAGGAUUGGGUGUUGAGGGACCACUUGUCACAUUGUCCAAGUCCAACAGGAGUGCAUCCCUAAGGCCAUCCAGCGCAUGGACAUCCUGUGUCAGUGUGAUCCGACUGCGAGCGUCCAGUUGUGGAGACUACAGCACAUCGAGCCUGCGGACGGACAGGUCAGUAACUCAUUAAAUAAUGUAAUAUAACACAGUAUUGUAUUUGCAACAAAAUAUUUAAUUUGGGUCCCAUUUUUUGGGGGGACAUGUGACAUGCAGAACGUCAGGCUCACCUCACAAGAAGCAGUGCAUGAUCAACGCCACCCUCAGCGAGGAGAUCUGCUGGAAGUGAUGUACUCUCUCGCUCUCUCUCUCUUAUCGGGGUAAGACAUAACUUAAACAUCACAGGUAUAAAUUCCCACUGUGCCCAUGAUAAAAUGCAAUGUAAACUGUGUUGUACUACUGAAUGAAACUGUGAGGAGAUGCAUUCAGACCAGCCUGUGAUUGAACUAACGUUGGAUAUAUUACUUUAGUUGGCUGCUUUGAGCAAGACUUGAAUGUAAUAUAACAUUUUCUAGGAGCCUAUUGUUUGUGUAUGAUCUUUAUUCAGUGUUUACUUGUUUUUAAACAAUGUCAGGUAGAGGCAGGGAUGACUAGUGUCUUCAGUAUACAUUUUUUAGACAGGUUAAAUGUUAUAUCAUAUUGUAUCAUAGCCAACAUACAAUUGAAUAUAGCGUAGGGUCAGACACUCUUUUGAGUAUUAUUUUGUUCCACUCACCUCUCUUUCUAAUCUGAAUUAACAAUACUCACCAUUUACAUUUUUU